GAUGAACGCUGGCGGCGUGCUUAACACAUGCAAGUCGAACGAGAAGUGGAGACGGAAACCUUCGGGCGGAAGACUUUACUUCGAGUGGCGGACGGGUGAGUAACGCGUGGGUAACCUGCCUCAUACAGGGGGAUAACAGUUGGAAACGACUGUUAAUACCGCAUAAGACCACAGCACCGCAUGGUGCGGGGGUAAAAACUCCGGUGGUAUGAGAUGGACCCGCGUUCGAUUAGCCAGUUGGCGGGGUAACGGCCCACCAAAGCGACGAUCGAUAGCCGAUCUGAGAGGAUGACCGGCCACAUUGGGACUGAGACACGGCCCAAACUCCUACGGGAGGCAGCAGUGGGGAAUAUUGCACAAUGGGGGAAACCCUGAUGCAGCGACGCCGCGUGAGUGAAGAAGUAUUUCGGUAUGUAAAGCUCUAUCAGCAGGGAAGAAAANGACG
rnacentral:rRNA from 1 species